CAGCCGCCGCGGUAAUACGUAGGGGGCGAGCGUUGUCCGGAAUUAUUGGGCGUAAAGCGCGCGCAGGCGGUCCUUUAAGUCUGAUGUGAAAGCCCACGGCUCAACCGUGGAGGGUCAUUGGAAACUGGGGGACUUGAGUGCAGGAGAGGAGAGCGGAAUUCCACGUGUAGCGGUGAAAUGCGUAGAGAUGUGGAGGAACACCAGUGGCGAAGGCGGCUCUCUGGCCUGUAACUGACGCUGAGGCGCGAAAGCGUGGGGAGCAACCAGGAUUAGAUACCCUGGUAGUCCACGCCGUAAACGAUGAGUGCUAAGUGUUAGAGGGGUCACACCCUUUAGUGCUGUAGCUAACGCGAUAAGCACUCCGCCUGGGGAGUACGGCCGCAAGGCUGAAACUUAAAGGAAUUGGCGGG
rnacentral:rRNA from 1 species